ensembl:lncRNA
GUUUGGAGAAAUCCAACUCACAGGCCCUGCACCCAAUUCAAGCGGCAUCAGGUGGUCGAAACUCUGAGGGUGGUAACUCCAAUAUGAUCCAAAACAAGCGGCCAAAUGUGGUGAAGACAUUUUCAUGAAUUGCUGAUCCUCCUGGGAAAACAUUUGUUUGCCAGAAUCCAUAUUUGAAUGCGUUUUAAAGAGAAGAAAAAUGCAGAUGAUUUACUCAAGCCGGGGCAGCACAACACCUGCAACUUGGAGAAAACAACACAUUUGAUGGAAAACAGGAAUCAGAAAAGGCUUUCUCAGAACUUUGCUCUCCAAUAAUCUACAGCACGGCAUGCAGACGAUCCCCCGCUAUAAAAAUGAAUGGUCUACUCAGACAAGGCUCUCAGAGGACUUGUUCUGAUUGGAUACUAAGAGGCUUCAGCCUUUAUUGUGGUGAAGAAUUUGAACUUGUGGUCACGUUGUCCUCGGCGCGGCCUGCUUUCCCAUUGGCAUCGCCUCACGAUACGGAAGCGGCAGGUAAAAAAAAAAGCUUUGGAGAGUUUGGUGAGUCCGUAUGGAAGAUGAUACAUUUAUAUUCUGGAACCCCGGAGGGGUGGAAGAAUGAGUUGCCCUCAACAGCCAAAGGAAACUUCACAUGCUAGGUUGAAUGAUCAAACAAAAGCAGGUAAACUUGUUCAUCGCGUCCUCACUUAUUACUUUCACUACUUUAGCUAAUAUGCUUUAGGAUUACUUUAGCUAAAAUGUGUUGAGCCAACCAGAUUCAUCAGUUUAGUUAUAAAUUAUAAGCUAAUAAUAGCAUUCAUUGUUAAAGCUGUCAGUUUAGCAUGGCUACUUAAAUCCAAGGUAAAAGGCAUCUAAAGGACUCAAACUGUCCUUUAAACUUCAGAUCAGCCAACUCUAAAAUCAGGCUCCUCCACUAAUGCUUAUGCUAACUGCCCCUCAGAUCUCACCCUCAUGAAUAUGUUUCCCUUUAGUAUUUGGCUGUAGUCUCAGAGACUGUGUCUAUGACCCUACGUCUCUGCCCAGAAUAGAGAUGGAUGAGCUCAAUCUCAUUAAAACAGUUUUUCUGGAAUCCGUUUGUUGAAGCUUUAAGUUUCAAGUCAAGUUGAAAAGAAACUCUGGAAGGCAUCUGGCCUAGAGGUGGGGGCUCUUUUUGGCAAGCUUAAAGUAACAUGAACCCCAUUUCAGGACCUCAGGUAAAUGAAUCUUUAUAUGCUUGACAGCUCUUCAGAUGUUCCAAAAUCUAAACCUUUCCAUCCAGUGGCAGCGAACUCCUCAGCAAACCAAAACCUUGAUACUGCAUUUGUUUUUGUUGCAGGAGAAGGAUUCUUAUCGGGACCAACGUGAGAAACCUGCAUUCCAAAUCCAAGCUUCCUUUGCCUCCCAGUCUCCUCUCUCACUUGGUGGAGCUGAAUUCUCCCACGACUCUGAAAAAUGUGCGUCGGUGGGGCAGAUAUGAGAGCUGAUGAGCGCUCUGAUGCAGGAUCGCUCUUCCAGAGAGAUUUCACACGAGCGUGAAGCCAGUGGGGGAGUUAGCAAGGAGAGCAUGUUGAGAGCUGUGGCAGGGCCUCGCCUCCUCGGUGUGAGAACAGCUGGCUUGUAUCAGAGCUCUGACCAACAUGUGGAUGCAAGGAGGAGGCUAAUGUGGCGUUUCCGACCCUAAUCAGCCUGAACUCAGCACUGUUAUCUGAAAGGAGAGCUCUGAUCUGUCAGGCUAGGAGUUAGCAGUGCAGCAAAUGAGCUCAAUCAGGAGCUUUGAAAUAUUUCUGGAAGCACUCGUCUUCAUCGUCUGUGUGCCAAUAACAUCAGGUGUGAGCGGUCUGCUCCAGAUAAUUAAACAUGUCAUUCUCCUGUAGUCUGCUCGCUGAAGGCUAUGAGUCCUAAACUCUUUGUCAAGUGAAAACCAGCAGGUUGAUUUUUCCAUUCGAUAAAAGCAGAGAGGAAAUUUCCCCUUAUUUGAAUAUUUACAGUUCAGUGGCGGCUUUGUACGAAGGGUCAGGUUUUCCAAGGCCUGAGUGUGCCUCUGGAGGAAGGUCAUACCUGGGUGAGAUCGCUCUCAAAGAUCGUGUUCUUUCGACCAUCUGUUGCUCACGUUUGCUUGAAGUUGUCCAAGUUACAGAAGAACAUCAGUACCUCUGUAUAAAGUUAAACCUGUUGACAGAAUACAAGAAAUAUCUGAAUAUGCAGUAAGUUUUAAUAUAAAGUGCCCCAUCAUUCAUUAAUUCCAUUGACAUUUUGGCAAAUAGUUUUGAUUGUAAUGAAAAAAUGUGACAAAGUGCGUGCCGCCUCAGGUCUAUAGAGUAGGGUAUGCCUGCAGGCCCGUAGCUCUGAACCCACAUUUUUAGAAACCUUGUUUUGCUCGUGAGUGCCCCCUCUGUCCUUGGAGGCUAAUAUCUAUGAGGAUCAAUAAGAAUUAAACUGUUGAUUAAUAAUUUUGGCAACUGUAAUUUGACAGCAAAAUAAGUGUUUUAAUCCGAUACAUUCUAGAUUAGGAGUAAUUUGAUAGUCUGCAAGGUCAAAUAACUACUAAACUGCACUAAAUAAUGUUUAUUUUCCAUCGACUAACUUGGAAAUAGUGAUCAGCUUGACGUGCACAUUUUGCUUCGCGAAAUCAAAUUGAUGUAAAAUUUGAGCAUGUAUUUACUUUAUAGACAAAUAAAUGAUUAACCCAUUGCAA